rnacentral:rRNA from 1 species
CCGAAUGGGGAAACCCAGUGUGUUUCGUCACACUAUCAUUAACUGAAUCCAUAGGUUAAUGAGGCGAACCGGGGGAACUGAAACAUCUAAGUACCCCGAGGAAAAGAAAUCAACCGAGAUUCCCCCAGUAGCGGCGAGCGAACGGGGAGCAGCCCAGAGCCUGAAUCAGUGUGUGUGUUAGUGGAAGCGUCUGGAAAGGCGCGCGAUACAGGGUGACAGCCCCGUACACAAAAAUGCACAUGCUGUGAGCUCGAUGAGUAGGGC